rnacentral:rRNA from 1 species
CCUACGGGAGGCAGCAGUGGGGAAUAUUGCUCAAUGGGCGAAAGCCUGAUCCAGCAACGCCGCGUGAAGGAAGACGGCUUUCGGAUUGUUAACUUCUUUUAAUAGGGAAGAAAGAAAUGACGGUACCUAAAUAUGAAGCCCCGCCUAACUACGUGCCAGCAGCACCGGUAAUACGGAGGGGGCAAGCGUUAUCCGGAAUUACUGGGUGUAAAGGGAGAGUAGGCGGAAAGGUAAGCGAAAUGUGAAAGCCGUAAGCUUAACUUAAGGAUUGCAUAACGAACUAUCUAGCUAGAGUGCAGGAGAGGUAAGCGGAAUUCCUAGUGUAGCGGUGAAAUGCGUAGAUAUUAGGAAGAACACCAGUGGCGAAGGCGGCUUUCUGGACUGAAACUGACGCUGAGGCUCGAAAGCAUGGGGAGCGAACAGGAUUAGAUACCCGUGUAGUC